GUCACGGCUUAUAACGUUCCUUGCUUCCAUGGGCCGCGGCUGACCCUGACAGGAGGCUGAAUAAUCCGUAAGGAGCAAAUUCGAUG
rfam:Bacteria symbiont BFo1 of Frankliniella occidentalis strain BFo1 contig004, whole genome shotgun sequence.